rnacentral:rRNA from 1 species
GUGUCAGCAGCCGCGGUAAUACGUAGGGAGCGAGCGUUGUCCGGAUUUAUUGGGCGUAAAGGGCGUGUAGGCGGCUUUUUAAGUCUGAAGUGAAAACUCGGGGCUCAACCCCGAGCCGGCUUCGGAUACUGGAGAGCUUGAGUGCUCUAGAGGGCAGUGGAAUUCCCGGUGUAGCAGUGAAAUGCGUAGAGAUCGGGAGGAACACCAGUGGCGAAGGCGACUGCCUGGGGAGUAACUGACGCUGAGGCGCGAAAGCUGGGGGAGCAAACGGGAUUAGAUACCCCGGUAGUCCCAGCCGUAAACGAUGAGUGCUAGGUGUAGCGGGUAUCGACCCCCGCUGUGCCGGAGUUAACGCAAUAAGCACUCCGCCUGGGGAGUACGGCCGCAAGGUUGAA